AGUGAACGCUGGCGGUGUGCUUAACACAUGCAAGUCGAACGAGAACGGGUUAUAGCUUGCUAUAAUUGUCAGCUAAGUGGCGCACGGGUGAGUAAUGUAUAGGUAAUAUGCCUCUUACUAAGGGAUAACAAAUGGAAACGUUUGCUAAUACCUUAUACUCCUUAUUAACAGAAGUUAAUAAGGGAAAGAUUUAUUGGUAAGAGAUUAGCCUGUAUUGUAUCAGUUAGUUGGUGGGGUAAUGGCUUACCAAGACUAUGACACAUAACUGGUUUGAGAGGAUGAGCAGUCACACUGGAACAGAGACACGGUCCAAACUCCUACGGGAGGCAGCAGUGGGGAAUAUUGCACAAUGGACGAAAGUCUGAUGCAGCAACGCCGCGUGGAGGAUGACACAUUUCGGUGCGUAAACUCCUUUUAUAUGAGAAGAUAAUGACGGUAUUAUAUGAAUAAGCACCGGCUAACUCCGUGCCAGCCGCCGCAGUAACAC
rnacentral:rRNA from 1 species